AGUAAAUUUAACGGCCGCGGUAUCCUGACCGUGCAAAGGUAGCAUAAUCACUUGUCUCCUAAAUAGAGACUUGUAUGAAUGGCAAAACGAGGGUUUAACUGUCUCUUUUUCUUAAUCAAUGAAAUUGACCUACCCGUGCAGAGGCGGGUAUAAUUAUAUAAGACGAGAAGACCCUGUGGAGCUUAAAAUUACAACUUAAACACAUUAAUAAAUUACCCUAAGGGGGUUUAAACCUAUAAAACUUCUUUAAGCUGAAUUUUUGGUUGGGGUGACCUCGGAGCACAAAAAAACCUCCGAAUGACAUAACCAAGAUUAACCAAUCUAAGUGCUACAAGCCAGUAAUUGACCCAAAUUUUGAUCAACGGAACAAGUUACCCCAGGGAUAACAGCGCAAUCCUAUUU
rnacentral:rRNA from 1 species